rnacentral:rRNA from 1 species
UGAGGAAUAUUGGUCAAUGGGCGAGAGCCUGAACCAGCCAAGUCGCGUGAAGGAAGACUGCCUUAUGGGUUGUAAACUUCUUUUAUACAGGAAUAAAAAGGCUUACGUGUAGGCCAUUGCAAAUACUGUAUGAAUAAGCAUCGGCUAACUCCGUGCCAGCAGCCGCGGUAAUACGGAGGAUGCGAGCGUUAUCCGGAUUUAUUGGGUUUAAAGGGUGCGCAGGCGGGCUUUUAAGUCAGCGGUGAAAUCUGGACGCUUAACGUCCAAACUGCCGUUGAAACUGGGAGUCUUGAGUAUGGAUGAAGUAGGCGGAAUUCGUUGUGUAGCGGUGACAUGCAUAGAUAUAACGAGGAACUCCGAUUGCGUAGGCAGCUUACUAAGCCAUAACUGACGCUCAUGCACGAAAGCGUGGGGAUCAAACAGGAUUAGAUACCCUGGUAGUCCACGCCGUAAAACGAUGAUUACUAGUUGUAUGCGAUAUGAUAGUAUGUGACUAAGCGAAAGCGAUAAGU